rnacentral:rRNA from 1 species
CAGUAGCCGCGGGAAUACGGAGGGUGCAAGCGUUAUCCGGAUUCACUGGGUUUAAAGGGCGCGUAGGCGGUUUGGCAAGUUUGGUGUGAAAUCUUCGGGCUCAACUCGAAGUCUGCACCGAAAACUGCCGGGCUUGAGUAUGGGAGAGGUGAGUGGAAUUUCCGGUGUAGCGGUGAAAUGCGUAGAUAUCGGAAGGAACACCUGUGGCGAAAGCGGCUCACUGGACCAUUACUGACGCUGAGGCGCGAAAGCUAGGGGAGCAAACAGGAUUAGAUACCCCCGUAGUCCCUGUCUCUUAUAC